GUGGGGAAUCUUGCGCAAUGGGCGAAAGCCUGACGCAGCCAUGCCGCGUGAAUGAUGAAGGUCUUAGGAUUGUAAAAUUCUUUCACCGGGGACGAUAAUGACGGUACCCGGAGAAGAAGCCCCGGCUAACUUCGUGCCAGCAGCCGCGGUAAUACGAAGGGGGCUAGCGUUGCUCGGAAUUACUGGGCGUAAAGGGCGCGUAGGCGGACAGUUUAGUCAGAGGUGAAAGCCCAGGGCUCAACCUUGGAAUUGCCUUUGAUACUGGCUGUCUUGAGUACGGGAGAGGUGAGUGGAACGCCGAGUGUAGAGGUGAAAUUCGUAGAUAUUCGGAAGAACACCAGUGGCGAAGGCGACUCACUGGCCCGUUACUGACGCUGAGGCGCGAAAGCGUGGGGAGCAAACAGGAUUAGAUACCCCUGUAGUCC
rnacentral:rRNA from 1 species